rnacentral:misc_RNA from 1 species
GAAAUCUUGAAAGGGCAUGUAGAGAAUACAGAAAGAUUGCAUUUUUAGUCUUUAUCUUCUUUACCCAUCUCAGUUUCUUGGACUGUUGUAUUUUGGGUCUGUAAAUAACGAGUAGUGAUAGUUGUUGAGGGAUUUCACUUAUUCUUGCCAGCUUCAAUUUCUGAACAGUAUUUCUGGGUUAGGUUAAUUUUUGAAAUCUUGAAGGGGCAUUUGACUGAUGGGGUUUUAGUUCUUACCCAUCUCAGUUCUCUCUGUUUUACAACUACAUGAUAGUUGUUGAGGGAUUUCACGUAAGGUUUCUGCAUCGAUUUUUUAGGUUUUCUGUACUUUUCGAAUCCUCAAAG